CAGUGGGGGAUAACGUAGCGAAAGUUACGCUAAUACCGCAUAUUCUGUGAGCAGGAAAGCAGGGGAUCGCAAGACCUUGCGCUGAUUGAGCGGCCGAUAUCAGAUUAGCUAGUUGGUGAGGUAAAGGCUCACCAAGGCGACGAUCUGUAGCGGGUCUGAGAGGAUGAUCCGCCACACUGGAACUGAGACACGGUCCAGACUCCUACGGGAGGCAGCAGUGGGGAAUUUUGGACAAUGGGGGCAACCCUGAUCCAGCCAUGCCGCGUGAGUGAAGAAGGCCUUCGGGUUGUAAAGCUCUUUCGGCCGGGAAGAAAUCGUAUGGGUUAAUACCCUGUGCGGAUGACGGUACCGGCAUAAGAAGCACCGGCUAACUACGUGCCAGCAGCCGCGGUAAUACGUAGGGUGCGAGCGUUAAUCGGAAUUACUGGGCGUAAAGCGUGCGCAGGCGGUUUUGUAAGACAGGCGUGAAAUCCCCGGGCUCAACCUGGGAACUGCGCUUGUGACUGCAAGGCUAGAGUACGGCAGAGGGGGGUGGAAUUCCACGUGUAGCAGUGAAAUGCGUAGAGAUGUGGAGGAACACCAAUGGCGAAGGCAGCCCCCUGGGCCAAUACUGACGCUCAUGCACGAAAGCGUGGGUAGCAAACAGGAUUAGAUACCCUGGUAGUCCACGCCCUAAACGAUGUCAACUAGGUGUUGGGUGGGUAAAACCAUUUAGUACCGGAGCUAACGCGUGAAGUUGACCGCCUGGGGAGUACGGCCGCAAGGUUAAAACUCAAAGGAAUUGACGGGGACCCGCACAAGCGGUGGAUGAUGUGGAUUAAUUCGAUGCAACGCGAAAAACCUUACCUACCCUUGACAUGUCCAGGAGCCUGAAGAGAUUUGGGUGUGCCCGAAAGGGAACUGGAACACAGGUGCUGCAUGGCUGUCGUCAGCUCGUGUCGUGAGAUGUUGGGUUAAGUCCCGCAACGAGCGCAACCCUUGUCGUUAAUUGCCAUCAUUUAGUUGGGCACUUUAACGAGACUGCCGGUGACAAACCGGAGGAAGGGGAUGACGUCAAGUCCUCAUGGCCCUUAUGGGUAGGGCUUCACACGUCAUACAAUGGUCGGUACAAAGGGUUGCCAACCCGCGAGGGGGAGCCAAUCCCAGAAAGCCGAUCGUAGUCCGGAUCGCAGGCUGCAACUCGCCUGCGUGAAGUCGGAAUCGCUAGUAAUCGUGGAUCAGCAUGUCACGGUGAAUACGUUCCCGGGCCUUGUACACACCGCCCGUCACACCAUGGGAGCGGGUUCCGCCAGAAGUAGGUAGCCUAACCGCAAGGGGGGCGCUUACCACGGCGGGGUUCGUGACUGGGGUGAAGUCGGAACAAGGUA
rnacentral:rRNA from 1 species